rnacentral:rRNA from 1 species
UACAGAGGGGGCAAGCGUUGUUCGGAAUUACUGGGCGUAAAGCGUGCGCAGGCGGUUUUGUAAGUCUGUCGUGAAAGCCCCGGGCUCAACCUGGGAAUUGCGAUGGAGACUGCAAGGCUUGAAUCUGGCAGAGGGGGGUAGAAGUUCCACGUGUAGCAGUGAAAUGCGUAGAGAUGUGGAGGAACACCGAUGGCGAAGGCAGCCCCCUGGGUCAAGAUUGACGCUCAUGCACGAAAGCGUGGGGAGCAAAC